rnacentral:rRNA from 1 species
CUAAGGAAGGCAGCAGGCGCGUAAUUACCCAAUCCUAAUACGGGGAGGUAGUGACAAGAAAUAUUGAUAUUGGACCCAAAGGGUACAAUGAUUGAAAUGAGAACAAUAUAAAAAACUUAACGACUAACAAUUGGAGGGCAAGUCUGGUGCCAGCAGCCGCGGUAAUUCCAGCUCCAAGAGUGUAUAUUAAAGUUGUUGCGGUUAAAAAGCUCGUAGUUGAAUUUCUGAAAAUAAUCUUGUGAUUGAUUUAACCGUCAUGAACAAAAAUUGUUUACAUACUUGAUAGAUGGAAACAUUUAUCUUAAUGACUUUGAAAAAAUUAGAGUGUUCAAAGCAUGAUUCACAUUUGAAUAAUACAGCAUGGGAUAAUAUAAUAUGACAUUAGUUAAAAUUUGUUGGUUUCUUUGGCUAAUGUAAUGAUUAAAAGGGAC